GGCGGCAGAGCACGGAACAAAGGAGCCCGCGGGCCGGCUACUGUUUAUCUGCUGUCACUGCCUGCCUAAGGCAGAUACGGGACACCCCCAUAAAGCUGUGUUUGCAUUUCUCCGGCCACUUUGACCCUUUGCUGCAAUCCCGUGUCCUUUGUGUUAUACAAGGGGGUGAGUGACCAGCUUUCGUCAUACUGAUAGAGCGUUUCAGCCGUUCAUGAGGAUUUUGGAGAUAGCGCCUUGGCCGGGGCAGGGAGGCGCCGGGCUCCUGCCAGUAGCAGAAGUUGAGGUGCCUGAGGACAAACCUUGAGAGCGCAAACAGUAACGCUGCCCAAAGUUGUAGGUGGUUGGUACUCACUGGCAGAGCAGAUAAUAAAGCAGAUUCUAAGGCUCUGGGCCAGUAUAUGCUAAAUAAAGCACCCAAAUCAGUCAGUGCUUAUAUUUCUUUCUUAUUCCUUGAGUAUUGAAUAAAAGAUUUAAAAAAACCCCUUAGCAAUACAGACAUGACUUUUUGCUUCUAAUGUUCAAACCACAGCUUCCCCUCUCAUCACAAGGACUCACUUAUUUUUUUUUUGAAUAAAGCAUCUGGCAGAGUAGUUUCUCUAUAAUUUUAAAUCUUAUUACAGGUACUGCAAGACCAGUUUCAUUAGUUCAUAUAAAGUUCUUUGAACAAAAAAGUACUACAGCAAUUAUAACCAUAAGAGAUUCAUUCUCUGGUCUUCAUGUUACUUGGUUCCUCUUGUUUUAGAUGGUGAAGCAUGGUUUUAGUUCACUGUAGUAUAUGCAUCAACUAUUUAUGUCUAACUCAAUAGUUGUUACAAACAGCUUUCUUUCUUUUUUUUUAAUAAUUUCUCUUUAAAACUUCAGAGUGGUGAUGGAGGAUUAAUUUUGGAACAUCCGUUUUGAUUUUUGCCUUUAAACUUGUUUAUAAAGGUGUCAUUGUGUUUAUACAACUAGGCUCCGUAAUGGAUUCAUUUUCCAGAGUAUAAAAUCUUCCAGUGUUCUCAAUGAGUAUGUUUGUUUUCAAGUUAACAUCACAGAGCAGGAGAUAUUACUUGACAAAACAAAUAUAAAAGGCCCUUCAUGAACUCCUCCCAGCUCUGCUUACUCCAGUUACCAGCUGAAUCACUGGCAGAGAGAAUAAUUUAGUGUGCACUUUUGAAAAAAUAUAACAGCAAAUCACUGUCAAUUGUUUUAUUAAAAUAUUUUUAUGUCAAUUUUGUGUUGUGCCUAUUUAUGUGGCAUUUUCCAUUUAAAUUUUUUUUUUCCUGGAACCAGUCUUAUGAAAUAAUGUUUGCCAUUGAUAAUGGCUACCAGCAUUCCUAGAGGUGACUAUGCUUUAACACAAGUAAAGCAAACAAACCUCCCAGCUGGCAGGGAAAGAGGACAAAAUUACUGCAAAAGUUGAGACAGUGUAUCUGCAGAGAACACUAAUCAACUUAAGUAGAAAUACUUUACUUGCUUCCACAUUUCUCAAGUUACUUAUUCCUCUUUGCUUUUCCAAUUAAAAUGCUGUUAUUCAUUCUUUUGUUUAGUCAAGCUGUCUGCUAAAGCAUACAGUGUUGAGUAAUACCUAGGUUCCUUAUAAGUGAAAUAUUAUAGGUUAUCUAAUUGUCUAUUUUUUGCACGUGUGUGUCUGAAAUUUAAUUCUGUGUGCUCACGCGUCAGUGGCACUUCUUUGUUUCCUUUUUAUUAAGGUGUGCAGCUUUUUCUAUCCCUCUCAAUCUUUGCUCACAGAGUUAGGCCAAGCACUGCCAGCAGAAUAAACACUGCUGGAUAAAAGGGAAGGGACUGAAGUGAUAGACAGAGGCAGGGGAUGCCCCACAGCAUCUUUAGAUGCACAGCCCCUCUUCACUAAGAGCAAGAAUUGCUCCAUAACAACCCUUCUACAUCUGAUGGGGAAGGAGCUUUGCACAGGCAGGAGAGCACAGGCUCCCCACUAUGAGCUAGAAUCACUGCAGUGGCUGGGGGAAACAAGAACAGGCAGGGGUGAAGCAAUGGCAGUAAAUCUGCAUUUAUCCUGUUCUGCCCAGAUGCCUUUAGGUAAUUUGUUUCUAACCUAAAAGCACCCUGACUGCAGUCAUUGUCUAAUCAGAUGUGAUAGAGGCUCUCGUGUUUAAACUCGAUUCCCUUUGGUUACUCUCCAUACCCGUGUAACUCAUACAGCUGUUCUGGGAACUGUAAAACAGCCACUUGAAGCUGUUUGCACACUGUAAGCUUUCAUCUUCCUUGUGGUUUGUUCUGCUGUCUUAGAUCCCAAAGAGCAGCUCCUCUGUUAUUUUCUCUGGCACUUGCUGCUUCUCUAUAUUCACUGCAAAUGAUCACAACAGGAGCUGUAACUCCACAGUGCACACAGAAAUAAGAAGUGCUCAAGAAGUCUCUGACUGUACAACUGAAGGGAUAUUCCUUAAAAAAAAUAAAUAAAAGUGAGGUAUUAGUUUUAUCUCAUGCUCCUGGGACUCAGCCAAUGUAAGUGACAAGUAGAAUACUCAAUCAAAGAAGAUUUAAAUUGAUUGCCCAAUACAGGUGGGGCGUGCUGUACCUGGAUUUCACAAGUUUUGUUGGCUUGUGACCUGUAUUCAUCUAGGUGGAAAAUCAGGGGUUUGAUCUACAUUAAGUCUUUCAAGAUGGAAAUCUUCAUGCAAAAUCAGUGAUUGAAUUACUUUCCUGAACCCUUUUUUCAUAAUUUUGAAAGUGUCUUAUGCUUCAAAAGUGAAAACCCUAUUUCUCUUCCUCCUUGCUAUUGGUAGCAGUCUGCUGAUUCUGGCUUACUAAGAUGACAGAAAGAAGUGAUUCCAACCAUUUUCGUUGGUGUUUCUGGCAACUUUUUAAAGCAAGCUAGAGCACAGGCAUAUUUUAAUAAAUGAUUACACUCUAAAUAGAACUCAAUCAAGUAAGACCUUUUUUCUACCCCCUUUGUGUAGACUUGCUAACAGAUGGCCACAGUAUCAAGUAUUGACUUUAAUUACAUUUCAGACUAGAAAAUUGCUCCUGAAUACAAAUUCAAUGCAAGAAUAAUGCAAUCUCUGAGCAGAGCCCUUCUCUUUACCUAAUCAGUAAUAAAAAACUGACUUAAAACUUAACCCAGGCAGGACACAUAUCUGAUUUGUUGCCUUGCAUUCAUGCUAAUUUUAACUGACCUUGUCAUGGAAAAUCCCAUCAUAUCUGUUACUCUGACAUUUCAUUUAUACUCUCCUUUUUUCCCCAAUUCCUAAUUGGGUUUUACAUAAUGUGAAGUUCUGUAUUGGGUUAAGUUGCCUUACAUCUCCUUGCAAAGCAUGUGCAUGUUAAACAGCAUUUCAGGAUCCACAAGUCAGCUCAGGUAAGAUUGGAAGCAGUGCCUGGCUCAGUGUAAGGCACACAAAGUCCUUCCAAACUUUCGAGCUUCUGAAAGAGAACUGUAGGGUGGAAAGGGGGAGAGGGAUGGUGUGCAGGGAUAUAUUGGCAGCAUGUAGAAGUUCCUUCAGAUAGCACAGGUAGGUAACACAUCCCAACUCUGGGCCUGGAGCCAUGGGCCUUCAAUGGCAUUAUACAGUUUCUAUACACUGAAGCCCUUAUUUUUUUUUACCUUUACAUUGAAAGGGUUUUACAUUGAUCUCCAGUGCCCACGCUUUUCAUUUGCAUAACUAUUGCAAAUAGGCUCCUGUUUCAUGUUUAUUCAAGCCACUUGUUCACUCCCUACAUUGCUAUUUAGGCAAUAAAACUACCAAAGUCCUUCCACUUAGGUAGCUGAAAUCUCAGGCAACUUCUGCUAAAGUAUUUUGGUUAAAAUACUGUAGAGGUUUUUUUUUUCCCCUCACUAAUUCAUCAGGCUUUUAAAUUGAAUAGAAGAAAUCUGACUUAGAAUCCAGCCUUAAUAGAAAAAAUCUGACUUAGAAUCCAGCCUUAAUUGUAAAUGUGAGUUGACUGUGUCUCUGGGAGUUUUGGAAAGAUAAAACACAAUUUAGACAAUGACAUGCAGAAAUAUAAUUUAACAUGCCAAGAAAAAGAUACAAGAUUGACUGGUACACCCAGUAAUGAAAGAUGUUAAGCUUAAAUUACCAUCCUAUAAUUUUCUGCUUUGAAUACGUGACUGUGUGCACACGAAGAAAGUAUCUUCCAGGCAAGAGCAUCUGACCUCAUUAAGACAGAACUGUUGUUCCUCAGUUGUCUGUACAUGUUGCAUACAUAAGUGAAUCUGUAGUAAAACCCAUGGUUUUUUAGAGGGCAAAAACUACUGCAGAUAAAGGUGAAAGAAAAUUGGUUUCAAGAGCAGAGUUAUCAAAAUCAUGUGUUCAGAAGCUCACAACCCACAGAAACCAGUUUUUUAUAUUUUUUGGUUGAAUACAUUAGCAAAAUUUAUUCUAAAAUAGACCUUUUCCAACCUUUUCUUCAAGUUAAGAGGGUCUUAAUGUCUAAUCACUUUCUAAUGAGCAUUAUUUUAAUUCUGUCAUUUAAUUCUGUUAUGAAAUCUAGUGCUUUAUCUAUAUAGGCAAAAAUUCUGAAUGCAAAUCCACUUUGAUCAAUGUGUCAGGCAAAAGUAACUUGAGGACAAGUCCUGUUCUGUAAUCUCUGAAUCAGAUCUGCCAAUUAAUGGUCAGCCCACAAUUUUCUCAUGUGAUAUGAGGGGGCAUGCAAGUCAUCACUGCCUUUUUCAGUCAAAAUCCAGAAUUUGCCUUCUUCCUCCCCAAAACAGCUCAUGUCAGCUUGAAUUACACAAGCAUAAUACAAACUCAAAGCCUUACUCCAUGGUAAGCAGGUCAGGUUUAUUUUUCUGCUGUGAGCUUUUUUAAUAAAAAGAUUGGAAUGCUAAUUCAGGUCUUCAGGUCCCUAUUAGUUAAGGGCCUCUGGGCAGUGCUUUCUUGGCCUCUUGAGAGGAGGAGAGAAAAAAGCAAGCAAACAACUUGGCUGCUACAGCAUAGAUCUCAACUAUGCUGAAAUGUUUGGGUUUGCCAGCUCUGAUUGUACAGCUUGUUUGUGCAAGUCACAGCAAAAGCAGUCUCAAGGAAAUAGUACAGUGUUUCAUAGUGUGAUGUUACUGCCUGAUAGCCAUCAAGAGGAGGCACAAAGCAGUGGCAAUGAAAAUGAAACAAUUGGGAGCAGCCAGGAGCAAGCACAUUCUGAAAUUCAGAAAUAGCUGUAAUUCCAAGGUUCUCUUCUGGGAUUAAAAGCAGCUCACAUUUUUGUGGCCUUCUCAAGGGAACUCUUUUCAAUUCUUUCCUAUUGCCAUUACCAAAUCCACAAUGCUCUCUCCAGACUGAUGGUUUUCCUUUGAAAUUUGCUGAAGAUUUAACAAAGACAGUGUCAGGUCAGUUUGCACCCUUCUUUACUCUUUCUGGGCACAGUGGUAUUUUGCAGUUUGCCAGCAUUGUCAGAUGGUUCCUUUGCAGGUACACUCAAACUCCUAAGAGACAAAGCAGGUCCUGGCAGGGCAUUGCCCUCAUGCUAGUUCUUUGGGGUGGUGUAUGUUCUGGCAUCACAUUGCUUCUGACCAAGUAAUUCUCCCUGACUUCUUCAUCAUGACUCUUUCCUUGAGAGACAGCUCAUCAUUCCAUACUGUUCUUUUCUGAUGGGUUUCCUGAGGCUCUGGGGAUAUCUAGGGGAAGAGGAAACUUCCCCAAAUCUGGUUAACUGCAUAAAGCUUUGUAUUGAUUUUGCACCAACGUAUUAUAGUUCAUGUAUAAAAAUCCCUUCUCCCAACUUUGUGUGAUAUUUAGGUACAGUUGUUAGAAUAAUUGUAUCUGGCUUGCUUCAAGUUUCAUCAGGUUUCUUAAAAGAUACAUUUCCUCUAAAAAGAGCAGAGAGACAGAAGGAAGUAACUUCCAAAGAGCAUAUUCCAAAUCCUGGAAGAUUCUUUUAUUCCAUUAAAACCCUUUCAUUAUCCAGAAGAUGGCUACUAAAGACAGUACAUGUUUUUAUAUUUUCUCUUUUACAUGUGGAAGUGAAAGACGGCUUCUACAGCUUUAAAAGAGGGCUACUAUCACGAAUCUGUUUGCCAACACUGUCAGAAGAGUGGCAGGAGCCUGGCCUCGUUCCGAGCUGAGGCUGAAUCACGUUGUGAGCACAGUGUGAGGUGCUGCCAGAGGCAGGAGGCUGGAGCAGAGCUUGUUUUGUAGGGCUGGGCAUUGCUGUGCCCUUGAUGUGGUUUGUACUCUCUUCACAAGGCAGGAGAAUCAAUCUGGAACUUACUGCUCACGAGUUUGUUAUUAGAGCUCCUGUUAUGCAAGCUUCCCUUCUGCAAAGCUCUGCCUGCUUCCAUCCAGCCAGGCUGCCUCUGGAGCACACCUCGCAAGCCUGCCUGCACCCAGGGAGAGGGACGGGAUGAGACACAGGAAAGUGUGGUGGGGGAUCCCUAGAGGAGAGCAAGACAGCUCCAGUGGCCCAGUUCCUGCUGCCCUGCGUGUUCCUUGGCUUGCAGGGACAUAACUUGUCUCAGCUCAGGUGUUUUGCUGGCAUGGUUAAAGACUGCUUAGCCUUCUGCAGUGAAACAAAUCUAUCACCUGUUGCAGCCCUUUUCCUGCUGCUCUAUAAUUUGAUAUCGAGGUUAACAACAUCACAUUCACAUUUCCUCCUUUCAUACAGAUCUUUCCACAGACCUUCCAAAAAGUAUUUGACAGAACCCUCCCCUUGGAUACCCAUACCCAUCACCAUAGGAGAAACCUUGAGACAAGUAGGCUGUGACUGAUGCUGCUCUGAAGGAUCUGAGCAGAAUUCUGCCUUGAACCCAUCUGCAGAGUCACAGGCACUGUCAAGACUUCUCUUGCUGCCAGCUUCUGAUAUCCCUGCUUUAAGACUCUGAUCCAUUAACAUUCAGCACUUGUUCUUGCCUGUUGUUGUUUUCUGUUCCUUCUUUUUGAAACUGGAAGAUAAAACUUUUGGUUCUAAAAAACUUUUUAAGAUUUUUUUUUAAGAUUUUUUUGGUUUUGUUUAGAACUCUUUGUUCUAAACUAAAUCUGAUACUUUUUUUUUUUUUCAUAGAGAGGCUGGAAAUCAAGUAAUAGAAAAAUACUAAGUGGAUAUUACAAUUUUUGUAUAGAUUUCACUAGGAGAGGAUAUAGCAAGUCUCAUGAAGACGGUUCUGAGGAGUUGAUGGUAUUAACUCAUUGUCAGAGGAGGAAAAGUUAAAUAACUUUUAAAGUUAUUUAAAAGCAUUUCUCUUUUGAAAGACAAAAAAGACAACAUCUCUUGUAGCUGAGACCAAGAAAUACAAAUUAGUCAAGAGAACCAUGGGCCUUUAAGCCCACGUGGGAAUUGUGUACCACGCAGAAAACACAGCAUUGCUUCUGUAACAAGAUUUUAUGGUGAGAGAACUAUUGUAUAUGGUUUGCUAUUUGUUCCAGAUCCAUCAUUUGAGAAGCAAAGGGAGUGUGGAGUUUGUGGAGUAGGUGAUUCUGUGCUUGCAGUGAUGGCAAAAACACCGAGUUUGGCCCUAGUAAAGAUAUAAAUGGCAUCAAUGCUAAUAAGCUACAACAUUAUUUAUGAUAUACCUGACAUAGGCACCAAAAAGGUCUGUUACCUUCAUUUUAAAACUUGUACCACUAUAAAAACUCCAAAAGUACAUUAUGAAAUGCCACAUACCUUUCAGCAUUUCACCAACAAAAGCAGCAGCUAUUUUUUAUUGCAGAAUAUAAUAGUAAUAAUGAGCAAAAAAAUCGAAUUAGUCUAAUGUAAGGUAUUUCUAUUAUUAGGGAAUUUGCUUGUUUUGGUUUUAAUCUGAUAAAUCAGAGUACUUCUAUUUUAUGUUGCUGUGUUUUCAGACUGCCUAACUUAAGGCAAAGUAUCAUCCAUAUUCCUUAACAGAUUUGUAUUACUUUGCAAAUCCAGUGAAUCUCAGUGAUUCAAUUUGCUGUAAGGACCAAAUGCAACCAAAAUACCUGAGAAUUUUUCUUUAUUUCAAGCAAAUGGAAUUUGUUCUUCUUCUGCAUACACAUUUCUCUUCUUACUUAUUUGUAAUUAGAAUGAAACACUGUUGUGCUGUUAGUGGACCCCAGAUAGCUUGAAGAGAACACAUUUUUAGCUGUUUACAUUACUUAUAAAUUACUAAACUUCAGCUUCAGAUAAGUGUAAUGUCUAUAUGGUAUCCCUAUUUCUAAUUCUUUAUUUAAAGCUGAAAUGCUGCUCUUAAUUUGGGGGCUCAUUUAGAUCAACAAGCAUGACUUGAUGGCCUCAGUGUGUCACUUUCAAAUUUUUUAAGUGAGCUUUUUUUCUCAAUUGCUGCUAAAUGUAAGGCUGUAUAAAAUUUACCCUUUUCAAUCAGGAUCAUGUAAGCCAAAUUGUUUGGUCCCAGUGCCAUUUCCAUUUCUAACUACAUAUUUGAUUUUAAAAGAAAAAAAAAAUCCCCAAAGGCUCUGAGAUAUAGGAUGGACUGGAUCCAUCCAGUGGGGUACUGGGGAUUGUGCAGCCUUAAACCUCCAGAUGUUGGCAUAUCUGGGAAUCUGUAUCCCUGCUGACUACCUGUAUUAUUGUUAUUUGCACAUCUGGCUUCUGGUCUGUCAUUGAAGUCCAACACCAUAGUCCAUGGUGGAAAAGCAAAAAUUAGUUAAGGCUUGCCAGCCACAUAUUCUAUAUCCAAAAAUCCAGCAAUUGACUGUAAAUACAUAGAAAAGGAAGAGGCUUUCUGAGCCCAUACCCAGAGGAAGUUGUUAAUUUUCUACAGAAAACGAAUCAGUCUGAUUUUGCAGUUCCUUAGUCCACAUGACCAUUCUGUCACUGUUACGAUGCCUCCCCACUUCCUCUGAAAUAUACAUUAGAACAACUCUAAAUUUAUUAUUGCCUCUCUCAUUUAUUUGUCUUGUAAUGUUGGCCUUUACUUUCAGUUUAUCUCUUUUUAUUUAAACCACUGAUGGUUUUUUCAAUCAUGUCAGUUCCUUGCCUUUUUUAUGCCCUUAUUUUAUUUUGCUUUUUAAAGAGCUGUGAUUGUUAAUCAACAUUCAUUAACUUCUUUCCCUGUGUUCUCAUGAUGUAUUCAGUUUCUCACAGGAAAAAUAGCUGGCUGUUCAGAUUUUGGAGACUAGGAAGCUUUUAAAUAUUCAUGGUGAUUAUUUAGCACUUGUGCUGUUUAUCAUACAGAGCCUCACUAUGAUAUAUUUUGUGAAACAUCUCUGCAUGGAAAAGUGGGGUGAUCAUACAAGGAAUACUUAGAUUAAGUAUCUAAGUAU